CCCUUAGAUGUCCUGGGCCGCACGCGCGUUACACUGAUGCAUUCAACGAGCUUAUAACCUUGGCCGAGAGGCCUGGGCAAUCUUGUUAACGUGCAUCGUGAUAGGGAUAGAUUAUUGCAAUUAUUAAUCUUCAACGAGGAAUGCCUAGUAAGCGCAAGUCAUCAGCUUGCGUUGAUUACGUCCCUGCCCUUUGUACACACCGCCCGUCGCUCCUACCGAUCGAAUGGUCCGGCGAAGCGCUCGGACCGCGGCCUCUUGACGGGUCUCCGUCGAUUGGCUGUGGGAAGUUCGUUAAACCUUAUCAUUUAGAGGAAGGAGAAGUCGUAACA
rnacentral:rRNA from 1 species